rnacentral:sRNA from 1 species
AUAGCACCCAUCAGGGGAAGGUAAGAACCUUCGACCAAGGUUCGCGCCGAGCGUAGCGAGACAACGACGCGCAGCGGCGGCCCGAAGGGUGAGGAACAACGUGACAAGCAAUCCUUCCCCCACCACCA